AAACAAUGCCAACAUCAUAUGCCAAACCUGAAUAAACUGCAUACAAUUAAUGAUAAAAAAUCAAUUUGUGAUGUGCCAUCAGUUGUGGUCUUGACCGGUCUUGAAAUAAAAUUCAGAGUCCUCUUUGUCUGAGACCGAGACGAGACCAAGACCUUUAAAAAGUGGUCUCGAGACCGAGACCGGUCUCAAGAACUACAACACUAGUAUGAAUUCAUACGAAUUAGCCAACGCGUAAAAUAUGUACAAAUUCCUGUGAGAUCAGUCUGAUCUAAACUAUGUAGACCUACAUGAUCAAUUUGUGACACCACAGAAAAAAUAUGUUAACCAAUUUGAAUGAAAAAAUAAAAAAAUAAAA